rnacentral:rRNA from 1 species
GAUGAACGCUGGCGGCGUGCCUAAUACAUGCAAGUCGAGCGAACGGACGAGAAGCUUGCUUCUCUGAUGUUAGCGGCGGACGGGUGAGUAACACGUGGAUAACCUACCUAUAAGACUGGGAUAACUUCGGGAAACCGGAGCUAAUACCGGAUAAUAUUUUGAACCGCAUGGUUCAAAAGUAAAAGACGGUCUUGCUGUCACUUAUAGAUGGAUCCGCGCUGCAUUAGCUAGUUGGUAAGGUAACGGCUUACCAAGGCAACGAUGCAUAGCCGACCUGAGAGGGUGAUCGACCACACGGGAACUGAGACACGGUCCAGACUCCUACGGUAGGCAGCAGUAGGGAAUCUUCCGCAAGGGGCGAAAGCCUGACGGAGCAACGCCGCGUGAGUGACGAAGGUCUUCGGAUCGUAAAACUCUGUUAUUAGGGAAGAACAUAUGUGUAAGUAACUGUGCACAUCGUGACGGUACCUAAUCAGAAAGCCACGGCUAACUACGUG